rnacentral:rRNA from 1 species
CAGCAGCCGCGGGAAUACGAAGGGGGCUAGCGUUGCUCGGAAUGACUGGGCGUAAAGGGCGCGUAGGCGGUUUGCACAGUCGGGUGUGAAAUUCCUGGGCUUAACCUGGGGGCUGCAUUCGAGACGUGUAGGCUUGAGUGGGGAAGAGGGUCGUGGAAUUCCCAGUGUAGAGGUGAAAUUCGUAGAUAUUGGGAAGAACACCGGUGGCGAAGGCGGCGACCUGGUCCUUUACUGACGCUGAGGCGCGAAAGCGUGGGGAGCAAACAGGAUUAGAUACCCGCGUAGUCCCUGUCUCUUAUAC